AUUGUCCUCUGCAGAGUCCCUGGCUACACUCUCCCUCAGGAUGGAAUGGAGCUGGGUCAUCCUCUUCCUCCUGUCAGUAACUACAGGUGUCCACUCCCAGGUCCAGCUGCAGCAGUCUGGGGCUGAGGUGGGGAGACCUGGGUCCUCAGUGAAGCUGUCCUGCAAGGCUUCUGGAUACAACUUUGCCAGCUACAUCAUGCACUGGGUGAAGCAGAGGCCUGGACAGGGGCUGGAGUGGAUUGGAUGGAUUUAUCCUGGAAGUGGCAGUACCAGCUAUAACCAGAAGUUCCAGGGCAAGGCCACACUGACUGUAGACAAAUCCUCCAGCACAGCCUACAUGGAGCUCCGCAGCCUGACAGCUGAAGACUCUGCGGUCUAUUACUGUGCAAAAGAUUAUCACAGUGUUGCAACCACAUCCUGA